GGUGAGGUGGCCGAGUGGCUUAAGGCGCACGCUUGGAAAGCGUGUAAACGGGAAACUGUUUCGGGGGUUCGAAUCCCUUCCUCACCGCAA
rnacentral:tRNA from 2 species